GAGACUUUGUAGAGUGUGGGGUAGAGAAAAGGCUCAUGAAUAUGCCUGAAGCCUAACUCAGCACCUUUCUGAGGAACUGACUGCCAAAAUGGUAAUGGAGAGGGGAAAAUAUGACCUACUUUCACAAGUUACCUUGACUGCCUCAGGGAAACCUGCUGUGGUAGUGUUUCUUCUGGGUGAAAGACCAGGUAAUUACCUGGGUGCUGGUCUCAGACUUACCAGUUUUGAAUCCCUGUUUUAACCACUCACUAUCGAUAUGACCUUGGAUAAGUUACCUAACCUUUCUCUUACUGUCCUUUUCCGUAAAAUGGGGAUAACAGAUAGUAGUUAUUUCUAUGAGUGGUUAUGAGAACCAAGCUAUUAGCGGGAAAGCACACAGUAAGCGUUCAAGGAACUGCUAUUGUUAUUAAAAGCCUCCUUUGGAAGAAGGACAUUGAGGCCCAGAGAGAGAACAGAACGUCCAGCCACACAGCAAAUCCGUGAUGAAGUUGGGACUGGAGUAUGGGUCUCCUGAGUCUCAGCCCAGGACUCUAUCCCUCUUCCCGAGUCCUCGGAGUUCCCGGAUGGAGUCACAUUUGUUCACGGCCAGGGAGGAAGGUUUGAUGGAGGCCUGCAGGAAACAACAGCCAGGCGCAAGGCUUUGGGAGUUGAAGCAUAGCUUCUGCGAGAUAGAAACAAGGUUGACAUGGGCACUCGUGCAGAAUGACGGGCUCCUUUUGGACUCCCAGGACUACAGUCCCUUAUGCACCUUGGGAUCUGCAGCUAGCCCCUGCGUAAAGAGGGACGCGUAGUCUUUUCCCUGCCCCGCCCUCCCGGGGCGCCCGCCUCCGAGGCCGCCCUCGCUUCGUCCUUCCCAGCAAGCUCCGCGCCGGCGCCGGCUAUUGAUUGGCUGAGGCGGGAGCAGGCGGCUGGCCGGCAGCAGUUACUCGGGGUUUCCGGUGCGAGGCCAGAGGUGGGGAAGCCAUCGGACGUCGGCGGUGAGGAUCAUCUCCUGACCCAGCAUCGCUCGUCACAAUGAAGAACCAAGACAAAAAGAACGGGGCUGCCAAACAAUCCAAUCCAAAAAGCAGCCCAGGACAACCGGAAGCAGGACCCGAGGGAGCCCAGGAGCGGCCCAGCCAGGCGGCUCCUGCAGUAGAAGCGGAAGGUCCCGGCGGCAGCCAGGCUCCUCGGAAGCCGGAGGGGGCUCAAGCCAGAACGGCUCAGUCUGGGGCCCUUCGUGAUGUCUCUGAGGAGCUGAGCCGCCAACUGGAAGACAUACUGAGCACAUACUGUGUGGACAAUAACCAGGGGGGCCCCGGCGAGGAUGGGGCACAGGGUGAGCCGGCUGAACCCGAAGAUGCAGAGAAGUCCCGGGCCUAUGUGGCAAGGAAUGGGGAGCCUGAACCAACUCCAGUAGUCAAUGGAGAGAAGGAACCCUCCAAGGGGGAUCCAAACACAGAAGAGAUCCGGCAGAGUGACGAGGUCGGAGACCGAGACCAUCGAAGGCCACAGGAGAAGAAAAAAGCCAAGGGUUUGGGGAAGGAGAUCACGUUGCUGAUGCAGACAUUGAAUACUCUGAGUACCCCAGAGGAGAAGCUGGCUGCUCUGUGCAAGAAGUAUGCUGAACUGCUGGAGGAGCACCGGAAUUCACAGAAGCAGAUGAAGCUCCUGCAGAAAAAGCAGAGCCAGCUGGUGCAAGAGAAGGACCACCUGCGCGGUGAGCACAGCAAGGCCGUCCUGGCCCGCAGCAAGCUUGAGAGCCUAUGCCGUGAGCUGCAGCGGCACAACCGCUCCCUCAAGGAAGAAGGUGUGCAGCGGGCCCGGGAGGAGGAGGAGAAGCGCAAGGAGGUGACCUCCCACUUCCAGGUGACACUGAAUGACAUUCAGCUGCAGAUGGAACAGCACAAUGAGCGCAACUCCAAGCUGCGCCAAGAGAACAUGGAGCUGGCUGAGAGGCUCAAGAAGCUGAUUGAGCAGUAUGAGCUGCGCGAGGAGCAUAUCGACAAAGUCUUCAAACACAAGGACCUACAACAGCAGCUGGUGGAUGCCAAGCUCCAGCAGGCCCAGGAGAUGCUAAAGGAGGCAGAAGAGCGGCACCAGCGGGAGAAGGAUUUUCUCCUGAAAGAGGCAGUAGAGUCCCAGAGGAUGUGUGAGCUGAUGAAGCAGCAAGAGACCCACCUGAAGCAACAGCUUGCCCUAUACACAGAGAAGUUUGAGGAGUUCCAGAACACACUUUCCAAAAGCAGCGAGGUAUUCACCACAUUCAAGCAGGAGAUGGAAAAGGUAACUGUGGUCCAGGCCAGGCAUGGCUGCUGGGGCAUAAGCUGCUUCAUUCAAAAUUGUCGGGCCUGCCUUCAGGAAGCUCCCAUCUGGGGUGUCUCAAGGGCAGGGCUGUUAGGAAGGUUCACAGCCUUUCCCCUCUUGAGGCAGUAUCAGUGAUGACUAAGAAGAUCAAGAAGCUGGAGAAAGAAACCACCAUGUACCGGUCCCGGUGGGAGAGCAGCAACAAGGCCCUGCUUGAGAUGGCUGAGGAGAAAACAGUCCGGGAUAAAGAACUGGAGGGCCUGCAGGUAAAAAUCCAACGGCUGGAGAAGCUGUGCCGGGCGCUGCAGACAGAGCGCAAUGACCUGAACAAGAGGGUACAGGACCUGAGUGCUGGUGGCCAGGGCUCCCUCACUGACAGUGGCCCUGAGAGGAGGCCAGAGGGGCCUGGGGCUCAAGCACCCAGCUCCCCCAGGGUCACAGAAGCGCCUUGCUACCCAGGAGCACCGAGCACAGAAGCAUCAGGCCAGACUGGGCCUCAAGAGCCCACCUCCGCCAGGGCCUAGAGAGCCUGGUGUUGGGUCAUGCUGGGAAGGGAGCGGCAGCCCAGCCAGGCCUGGCCCAUAAAAGGCUCCCAUGCUGAGCAGCCCAUUGCUGAAGCCAGGAUGUUCUGACCUGGCUGGCAUCUGGCACUUGCAAUUUUGGAUUUUGUGGGUCAGUUUUACGUACAUAGGGCAUUUUGCAAGGCUUUGCAAAUGCAUUUAUACCUGUAAGUGUACAGUGGGCUUGCAUUGGGGAUGGGGGUGUGUACAGAUGAAGUCAGUGGCUCGUCUGUGAGCUGAAGAGUCUUGAGAGGGGCUGUCAUCUGUAGCUGCCAUCACAGUGAGUUGGCAGAAGUGACUUGAGCAUUUCUCUGUCUGAUUUGAGGCUCAGACCCCUCCCUGCCCUUCAGAGCUCAAGACAAGUAAUACACCCAGGUCUUGACUGCAUUUGUCUUGUGAGCAGGGCUUGCUUGGGCAGCUCAGGCCCUCCUAGCUGCUCUGGAGGCUCCUUUGAUUCUCUAGACCUGGAAAAGGUGUCCCUAGGCAGAGCCCUGGCAGGGCGCUCAGAGCUGGGGAUUUCCUGCCUGGAACAACGGACCUGGAGAAUGUUUUUGCGUGGGAUGAUGUGCUGGUCAGGAGCCCCUUGGGCAUCACUUCCCCUGCCCUUUGGUAGUGCCAGGACCAGGCCAAUGAUGCUUCUCAGUAGCCUUAUCAUUCACAGGUGCCUCUCUAGCCUGCACAAAUGAUUGACAAGAGAUCACCCAAAGGAUUAUUUCUGAAGGUGUUUUUUUCUUUAUUUCUUUGUUUUUUUUUGCACAUGACAGUGUUUGUAUUGAGGACCUUCCAAGGAAGAGGGGUGCUAUAGCAGUGGUGCCUGGGUGCCUGGCCUCCAGUGUCCCACCUCCUUCACCACCCCACUUGGCUCCUUUGCCAUCUUGAUGCUGAGGUUUCCUGUUUGGUGAGAUCAGGUUGUUUGUUGUAAAAGAAAGGAAAGGGCUUCUGAUGGCUUUGCCACAAGCUUACCUGUGGGUUUCAGUCCUGAGAGGCCACCACCAGUUCCCAUCAGCACUGUCUCCAUGCAGCAGUUGCUGGGUCCCAUGUCCAGCUGCCUCUUUGGCUUCAUGGGUUUUUCUGCUUCCUGCCCCCACCCCCACAUGUGCAAUCCUCAAGAUUUGUCCUGAUUCUAUUUCCUGGCACCUCCCUGCCUGUCCUUGGGGAUUCUACUUCUUCCUGUGUGGGAGCCCAUAGCUGUUGUCUAAUAGGUAAGAAAUGAAAUUGAACUAUUGACUGGGCCCCAGAAAUCCAUAAAAUGGCUGCAGACAGUUGUUUCUGUGUCCUGUUCUACCCCCACUCCAGUACAUAACUACUAUGUACUGUGUAGAGCCAUUCUAUAUGCUGAAUGUUCUGCUGUUGCAAACUUGCCAGGGUAUUAGCCAGUGUUUGUGCAAAGCAGUUUUCUGGGACAACAGAAUGACUCAGACCAAGAUGGAUAGGAUGGUUAGGGCUUUGCUUCUUGCUGUUUUUCUUUGAAGCUAGUUCAUUGUCCUGCAGGUCCCUUCAUCUUCCAUACCUAGCCCACUCUUUUAGCCCUUACCUUAAAUCUCUCAGAUAAGUUGGUUCACAAAGAAUGUUAAGUACUGAAUCAUGUGUGACUGAGACCAGAGAUGGCAAAUGAAUGGCACACCAUUUCUCCUUCUCCUGCCCCAGGGCAGGUACCACUGAUCUGCAUCAGAGUUGCCUGCUAUUCUCUGGUGUAUCCUUCACAUCUAGGUGCCCUCAAGCAGCUGUGUGAGUGUUGAGAUCUCUGCCAUCUCUGGCUGAGAUAUUGCUGUCCUGUGAAGUGUUUCCCAUGAUCUUUUUCUUCCCCUUUGAAUCCCUCUGUCUGGAGUAGUCCUUGCCUCUUCCUGCUCCAGUAGGGCCUUUUCCCUACCCCAGCCCCUGUGCCAGGCUAAGCUGGUACAAGAGCUGCCAACCUCACAGAGUGUUUGCUAGGCGAGAGAGGUGCAGGGAAGAGGCAGAGGUAUGCACCUUUCCCCUUGAAGAGAGGGGAAAGGCCUACAGUGGCCCACAUAAUUGCCUGACUCACACUUCAGCUACCUCUUAAUGCCUGUGGAGGGACUGGAGCUGCUGGAUCCCAGUGUGGUGGUGUAGGAGGCCACAGUGAGCAGGUGGCCCCAGCUGGGUUUCCCAGGUCAGGAAUGUGGGCCCCAGGCAAGGUGCAGCCUUUGCUCACAGCUCCAUCCAUGUCUAGACCUUCAGGCCAGUCUGCAGAUGAGGGUCCCUACCUUUUUCUUCUCUUCAUUGACCAAAUCAACCAAUCACUACAGCUGCUCUGCUUCUGCUUUCCAAAGUAGCCCAGGUCCUGGGCCAGAUGCAGGGGAGGUGCCUAUCCAUGAGUGAAGGCCAGUGUCUUCCUCACCUGGGUGGGUCCCACACUUGUGACCUCAGUUUUAGGACCAAGAUCUGUGUUGGUUUCUUAGAUUGCUAGCUUUUCCUCCAGGGGACCACAGCAGGUGAAGCUCAAGAGCGCAUGGCUCUGCUAAUAGUAAGUUGUUUUCAGGGCCUUGUCCAGCUGAGAGCUUCAUGUCCACCAGAUUCUGAGAGGUGUCAGCAGCACUUUUUUUUUUUUUAUUUGUUGUUUGUUUUCCAUGAGGUUAUCGGACCAUGGGCUGAGCUCAGGCACUUUCUGUAGGAGACUGUUAUUUCUGUAAAGAUGGUUAUUUAACCCUCCUCCACCCCAUCACGGUGGCCCUGAGGGCUGACCCGGAGGCCAGUGGAGCUGCCUGGUGUCCACGGGGGAGGGCCAAGGCCUGCUGAGCUGAUUCUCCAGCUGCUGCCCCAGCCUUUCCGCCUUGCACAGCACAGAGGUGGUCACCCCAGGGACAGCCAGGCACCUGCUCCUCUUGCCCUUCCUGGGGGAAGGGAGCUGCCUUCUGUCCCUGUAACUGCUUUCCUUAUGGCCCAGCCCGGCCACUCAGACUUGUUUGAAGCUGCACUGGCAGCUUUUUUGUCUCCUUUUGGUAUUCACAACAGCCAGGGACUUGAUUUUGAUGUAUUUUAAACCACAUUAAAUAAAGAGUCUGUUGCCUUA